rnacentral:tRNA from 1 species
GGGGCGGUAGCUCAGUGGUAGUGCUCCCGCCUCAUAGGCGGGAAGACCUGGGUUAGAUUCCCGGCUGCUUUC